rnacentral:misc_RNA from 1 species
UUUACUUAUUUGUUUUGUACUUAGACGACACGCUUAAACAAGAGUUUUGGUUGUGGGCCACCGGCGGACGCGGGCCAAGGGGACGGAUCCGCCGAAGCAACAAAUGGUAAGGUAGACAAAGGGUAGGAGGUCGAGCCCAGAGGACCCUAACUCGGUAAUGAUCCUUCCGCAGGUUCACCUACGGAAA